GUGUGCUUACUUUGGCACCUAUACUAAGAAAUUGGAAGGCUACAAGGAAGAAUAGCAUGGCCCCUGUGCAAGGAUGACAGGAGAAUAUCUAUUGAGCAAUAGGGAUCU
ensembl:snRNA U6 U6 spliceosomal RNA